GACAGAGGGUGCAAACGUUGCUCGGAUUUACUGGGCGUAAAGCGCAAGUAGGCGGUCUUGUAAGUCGGGUGUGAAAACCCAGGGCUCAACCCUGGCAGUGCACACGAUACUGCUUGACUGGGGUACUGAAGAGGAGAGCGGAAUUCUCGGUGUAGAGGUGAAAUUCGUAGAUAUCGGGAGGAACACCAGUGGCGAAGGCGGCUCUCUGGGCAGAUACCGACGCUGAGAUGCGAAAGCGUGGGAAGCAAACAGG
rnacentral:rRNA from 1 species